CUCUUGGACAACAGCAAUAGCUAUAGUAUUCAAAAUAUGUAAACAAAACCCAAAAAGUUACCUGUGCGUUAUCCCUAAUCCCUGUGCACAUUUGAAUACCAAAGGGUUUUAGGGCUAUUAUCUGUGUGUGGGGGAAGCUGGGUUUGUUUGUUUUUUUUGUAUUGCACAGCCAUGUUCUGUGCUGUGACCCACCCCAUGUGUGCCCUAUUAAGUGUGCCCUAUCUCAAUGGAGUGGUCUGAGUACCAUGUGCCCCCAGCUUUAACUCUAUAACAUUGCCAUUCUGAAGGAACGUCAAUGGCUUCUUUGCAGGGUUAACCUGCCUCUAGUAGCUGUUAACAUGACAUCCACAAGAGGUGCUUCUGUAAAAUAGCAGAGUGGUUGCCAAUUGGUUGCCAACCAGAUGGUCUUAGAAUGACCACCUGAUUGGCAACGCAUUAAUCUCAAUGAUCUCAGCCAAAGAUGUGGAGCUUCAGUGAGGAUGCCAGCGCUGCAAGGUAGAAAAGGUAAGUAAAAUACUUUUUUAACCCAGGCGGUACUUACCUCCACUGCGGUCCCUAACUUAUCACCACACACAUAUUCCUAUUUAAACCGUUCUCUUCCAUGGCCUGUGUCUGUAGCCCAAGAGCACGUUCUUAUACCCUUGGUAUUUCUGGUAGGUGAC